CAGUAGCCACGGGAAUACGAAGGGGGCUAGCGUUGUUCGGAUUUACUGGGCGUAAAGCGAACGUAGGCGGACUUUUAAGUCAGGGGUGAAAUCCCGGGGCUCAACCCCGGAACUGCCUUUGAUACUGGAAGUCUUGAGUAUGGUAGAGGUGAGUGGAAUUCCGAGUGUAGAGGUGAAAUUCGUAGAUAUUCGGAGGAACACCAGUGGCGAAGGCGGCUCACUGGACCAUUACUGACGCUGAGGUGCGAAAGCGUGGGGAGCAAACAGGAUUAGAUACCCCCGUAGUCCCUGUCUCUUAUAA
rnacentral:rRNA from 1 species